CUCGUCUCUGCUUUGUCUGCCUCUCAAGAUAAAAUGGGUACAGGAUAUCUUUCUGCUUUCCCUUCUGAACAAUUUGACCGUUUCGAAGCUAUAAAACCUGUUUGGGCACCAUAUUACACCAUUCACAAGAUAAUGGCAGGUCUUUUGGAUCAAUACAUAUUGGCC